rnacentral:rRNA from 1 species
AGUUUGAUCCUGGCUCAGAACGAACGCUGGCGGCAGGCCUAAUACAUGCAAGUCGAGCGCAUCCUUCGGGAUGAGCGGCGGACGGGUGAGUAACGCGUGGGAAUAUGCCCUUCUCUAAGGAAUAGCCUCGGGAAACUGAGAGUAAUACCUUAUACGCCCUUCGGGGGAAAGAUUUAUCGGAGAAGGAUUAGCCCGCGUUAGAUUAGGUAGUUGGUGGGGUAAUGGCCUACCAAGCCUACGAUCUAUAGCUGGUUUGAGAGGAUGAUCAGCCACACUGGGACUGAGACACGGCCCAGACUCCUACGGGAGGCAGCAGUAGGGAAUCUUAGACAAUGGGGGAAACCCUGAUCUAGCCAUGCCGCGUGUGUGAUGAAGGCCUUAGGGUCGUAAAGCACUUUCGCCAGAGAUGAUAAUGACAGUAUCUGGUAAAGAAACCCCGGCUAACUCCGUGCCAGCAGCCGCGGUAAUACGGAGGGGGUUAGCGUUGUUCGGAAUUACUGGGCGUAAAGCGCACGUAGGCGGAUUAGUAAGUUAGAGGUGAAAUCCCAGGGCUCAACCCUGGAACUGCCUUUAAUACUGCUAGUCUUGAGUUCGAGAGAGGUAAGUGGAAUUCCAAGUGUAGAGGUGAAAUUCGUAGAUAUUUGGAGGAACACCAGUGGCGAAGGCGGCUUACUGGCUCGAUACUGACGYUGAGGUGCGAAAGUGUGGGGAGCAAACAGGAUUAGAUACCCUGGUAGUCCACAC